GACUGCGUAGCUCAGUUGGCAGAGCAUUGGGCUAGUAUUCCAAAGGUCGUAGGUUUGAUUCCCACCGUGGCCA